CUAUCUUUUACAUCGUAUAAAGUAUGAUUAUCAACGUGCUUCCGUGAUGACUACUUUCAACAUUUGUUUUUCUUUGUGUGCAAAUUUAAACUACUAAGCAGAACUUAGAGCAAAAUAACUACUCUUAGGUGUACAAACAUCAAAUGCUUAUAUGUAAUAUGUCCGAAAAGAUUUUACAACAAACAAGGUCAGUCUUUGACUUUUGGAUAAUCAAAGAGCAAGUUUGCAAUAGUGAAAUAAUCUAAAAGGUUCAACUGACUAUUAUUUUUUGGUUUAAUCACCGGUGAAAGGUGUUUUGCUACUGUUUUGGGAUGCUUUGGAGCUACUUUUUAUGCUGUUACCGGAUGCAGUUGAAGCCUUUUUUGCUGCUGCUUCUUGGAUUUUAUUACAGACACCUUUACUAUUAUUCUGGAUGCGGGUGAAACUACUUUUGCUGUUAAUAUACAAUGUCCUCUUAUCUAUAAAAACUUACGUGUCUUUCACAGAAUAAUAAUAGCCACCGACUGCAUUACAUAUUUGAUCUUUUCAUCGUCGCCCAAAAUUUCCUUUCAGCUUUGUCCUCCCCUCUAGCUUUCUCUGUUCAAUUAUCUUCUCCGCUGGGUCUCGCGGUGUUCAGUUAGUGUUAUUUCUCUGCUAUUUGCUUUUGCUUGUUCUUGGUUUCCAUUGUUUGUUGAUCUGGAUUUUUCUGCUUGUUUUAUCCUUUGUUUGUUCUGUGUUUGGUCUUCUGUUUCUUCUCCGUUACCGGCAUUCAAUUUUUCUUUAAAUUUAUGUACUCAAGAAGCCCAGCACCUCAGUACCGUGCCAUAAAGUAACAUUGAUAGCGGCAUGCAAUUCCAAUAUUUUGAUUCGUUGUGCGUUUGUACAUUUUUGGGUCCUUUCAAUUUAAUAUGUAAUAUUUUUUUUGAUAAUUGUUGAAUCCAAAUCUGUUCUUUUUGGUCUUUCUUCAUGUUGUCUUUGUGGGCUCUUCGCAUACAUGUUAUUAUUUGUUCAAAUGCCUGAAAUGGAGUUAUAUGCAGAAGUACAGACACUUUGCGUCACUAUUUACUCAAUUUCGGCUCCUCACUCAUUUUUUUGCUAAGUUAUUGGAUGAUAGGUAACACCUCUAAUGUGCUUCGGUUGCCUGAAGUAUCAAGAUAGUUGGUGCUCUCUUUUUCUGUUGACCAGUCCUUCCGGAGCAGUCUUUCUUGGUUACUCAGAGAAAUAUUGCAUGCCCAUAGGGCUAUGCUAAUGUUCUUGGGCUUUGAAUCCAGAACUGUUAGAGCGGACGGGUCUCUUUCAGUUGGUAUCUUUCGUUUAUGUGUUGUUGCUCGACUCGGUUAACAUAUGAUGCUACCCUUAGCUAUUGAUGUUAUUGAAGUCGUAUGCUUAAGCUUUUGCUAAUUUAGGAGAUCUAAAUUAUCUCUGUUUUUUUAAUGGUUUCUCUGCCACUGUGAUUUAUUUUUCUGUUCUUCGUUUUGGUCUUCUUAUUGCCUUUUUUUCCCUUCUAUAUGGUUUCUGUAUCUUGGUUUUUAAUUCUUUGGUCGUGAUUAUAUUUUGAUGUCGUAGUAAUAGUAAAAUUUGUAAAUUGACAGACUUUUAUUGGUGAAAUGAACGGUAUAAACUUUUCUGUUGUUCAA